AAUAGAUACCCCGGUAGUCCUAGCCGUAAACGAUGAACACUAGGCGUAGUCGGUAUCGACCCCGGCUGUGCCGUAGCUAACGCAUUAAGUGUUCCGCCUAGGGAGUACGGCCGCAAGGCUAAAACUCAAAGGAAUUGACGGGGGGCCCGCACAAGCAGCGGAGCGUGUGGUUUAAUUCGUCGCAACGCGAAGAACCUUACCAGGGCUUGACAUGUGGCGGAAAACGGCGGAAACGUCGUCCUCCCGCAAGGGACCGUCAUGCAGGUGUUGCAUGGCUGUCGUCAGCUCGUGUCGUGAGAUGUUGGGUUAAGUCCCGCAACGAGCGCAACCCCCGUGGCAUGUUGUAUCUCUCAUGCCAGACUGCCGAGAGAAACUCGGAGGAAGGUGGGGAUGACGCCAAGUCAGCAUGGCCCUUACGUCCUGGGCUACACACACGCUACAAUGGCCGGUACAACGGGUUGCCAAACCGCGAGGUGGAGCUAACCCCUUAAAGCCGGUCUCAGUUCGGAUUGCAGGCUGCAACUCGCCUGCAUGAAGCCGG
rnacentral:rRNA from 1 species